rnacentral:rRNA from 1 species
AUUGAACGCUGGCGGCGUGCCUUACACAUGCAAGUCGAACGGUAACGGGCCUUCGGGUGCCGACGAGUGGCGAACGGGUGCGUAAUACAUCGGAACGUGCCCGAUCGUGGGGGAUAACGAGGCGAAAGCUUUGCUAAUACCGCAUACGAUCUACGGAUGAAAGCAGGGGACCGCAAGGCCUUGCGCGGACGGAGCGGCCGCUGGCAGAUUAGGUAGUUGGUGGGAUAAAAGCUUACCAAGCCGACGAUCUGUAGCUGGUCUGAGAGGAUGAUCGGCCACACGGGAAGUGAAACACGGUCCAGACUCCUACGGGGGGGAGCAGUAGGGAAGCUGCCGCAAUGGGCGAAAGCGUGACGGAGCAACUGCGCGUGAGUGAUGAAUGUCUUAGGAGCGUAAAACGCUGUGAUGAGGGAAGAAAAAAUGGGUAAGUAACUAGGCACGUCUUGACGGUACCUAAGCAGAAAGCCACGGCUAACUACGUG